rnacentral:rRNA from 1 species
GGGGGCCCGCACAAGCGGUGGAGCAUAUGGUUUAAUUCGACGCAACGCGAAGAACCUUACCUACUCUUGACAUCUACAGAACUUAGCAGAGAUGCUUUGGUGCCUUCGGGAACUGUAAGACAGGUGCUGCAUGGCUGUCGUCAGCUCGUGUUGUGAAAUGUUGGGUUAAGUCCCGCAACGAGCGCAACCCUUAUCCUUAGUUGCCAGCGAGUUAUGUCGGGAACUCUAGGGAGACUGCCGGUGAUAAACCGGAGGAAGGUGGGGACGACGUCAAGUCAUCAUGGCCCUUACGAGUAGGGCUACACACGUGCUACAAUGGUAUGUACAGAGGGAGGCAAGCCAGCGAUGGUGAGCGGAUCUCUUAAAGUAUAUCGUAGUCCGGAUCGCAGUCUGCAACUCGACUGCGUGAAGUCGGAAUCGCUAGUAAUCGCAAAUCAGAAUGUUGCGGUGAAUACGUUCCCGGGCCUUGUACACACCGCCCGUCACACCAUGGGAGUG